GCUACCAUGCAAAAAUAUUAGCUGGUGCAGGGAAUAGCUGUAACCUUCUGCUCAGUUUUGUGUCCCGUGGGGAACAUACUAUAAGUCAAUCCUGUGCCAUGCAUUACCUGCCAACCAAUUUCUGAAUGUGCUUCUGGGACCUGAGUAGUAUCUAUGAGAAGCUGAGACCUGGCUGCCUUGGAAGUGGCUUUUUUUAUCCCCAUCUCCAUCAGGAUAGUCAUGCAGGAUGUUCUUUUUGGCUUGUUCAGGAGCUGAAAUAUGAAGUACCUUGGAACCAUUUUUUUCUGUCAAUGCACCAUGCUACUUCAGAUUUUCACUUGAGCAGAAUCUUGUCUCUUGCCUUCAGGACUGGUCUCUCAGGAACAGUUGUGUUUGUCCAGGCAUCUUGCAAAACUUGCAAGGAUUUUGUUGAGAUUGGUGGCAAGGUCAGAAAAUACUAUUUUUGUCUUUUGAAGUAUAAAUGUAAGAGGCAGAUUCUAGUUGUCUGGAAGAAUGCAUCACAAUAUAUGACCAAGUAGGCAAAUGAAGAUACAGCUGGGUAAAAGGGAGGAAUGACUGAUGCUGUGGAUGAAGGGAGAGGAGCUUGUUGUUGCAGAAGGUGUCCUUUAGCACAGCUUUCUGCUCACUUUCCGUGGCAUCCUGAGAGCCAAACUGGAGCAGCGAAUGCAUCUGCUCAUCAGAGGACUUGCUCUUCACCAGACACCCUAUUUGCUGCUGUCAUAAAUGUGGGACACAAGAACAAGGCUUUGAAAAUCUGUGCAAAAGUUUAAAUCAGUGGGGAUCCAAGAGUUUUCAGGCAAACAGAAAUUCUUAGGAAGGAGCAUUUAAUGGAGUUUCCUUCUCCAUCCUCCUGCCCCAACCCAGAAGAGACAGACCCAUUCAAGACUGCAUUAAUCAGCUCUGGAAUGAAACUAGUGGUGGUAGUUGAAUGUUCUGGAGCUGUAGGAGAGGAAUGGUACUGUUAUCCUUGCUGCAGGAUGUGGCUGUGGUUCAUUCACCUGAGAGAUUGAGACCCUGGGAAUUUUAUGAAAGCCAAAAAUGGUUUGCUAUGAUGACAAUGUCUGAAAGACGAAAAAGUUAAAUGUUUUCACAAGCAUGUGAAAACCAGUUUUCAUGUCUCCAAACAGAGUUGAGGAGUGAUUUGUAUUGACUUUUCUGUUCUGUGUAUGCUUGUUUUCUUGCGCUCUUUCUCUGAAGAGAUCAAUGCAGACUUUUUUAACAAGGUGAACAACAAAUUAUUUAAGGUGGCUAGAAUGUCAGCAGUGUUAUUGUAGUGAGAAGUAAAUGGCUGCAUAUCCAGUUAGGGAUAUAGUCAAGCUGCAAGCUCUUAACAGAGUCAAGAAUUUAACAAAGUCACUGAUUCAGGAUGGGGCCUAACUUACAGGUUUAGUAUAUUUAUUCCACCUUUGUUUCCACAAUUUGUUACUUAUUCAAAAAUCUGUCUUUAUUUAUGAUGUUGUUUUCACUGUGAAUUCUGAGUGUUUCAUAGAAGUGUGUCUGUCUCUGUUUAUUCUUCCUUAUCUCCAAUCAUGUCUGCUGCAUUCUCUCAUAUUUUUUCUUUUGCUCUUUGACAGUCCUCUAGAUAUUUUUUUUUCUCUCUCUUUUUGGCAGCUCCUCAGUUUGGGAUUAUUCUGAUCUCAUAGUGCCUCAGUCCCAGAUUCUUUACAGGCAUGCAUUGAUGUUUUUACUCCUAAUGUGUUCUUAGUCUUUCUGGACCUUCCUUCAUGAGGCCAGACUGUAAAUUGAAUCUAUUAAAGCUGGGUAUUGAUGCUGUGUCAAAUGAACACUUGUUUCCUGGAAAGAAACUUAUCCUGGACGACUGCAUUUGCAGGUUUUGAGAGGGCUAUGGCUUUCUGUAAUACUUUAUAUUAUAAAGCAAUCUUUUUUUCCAGUUCUCUUUUUUAUCUCUGGUCACUAGGUAUUUAUUUAAAUGGAAAUUUAAUCAGAUUCUACCUUCUCUCUGUUGGCUGCCUCACAAAUGCAACUCUGUCAAAAUUUAUUUGGCAACACAGACUGUCUUCUAUGUGGUCAUCAUUAGAACUACUCAAAUUUGCUUUCAAACCUGCAAAGUGAAAAUUUGGAAUAUAUUACUGUUUUUGUUUGUUUGUUUUUAAAUCAUUAUCUUGGAGCUAUUUUCUAAGCCCUGCCUAACUCACAUACAUAGAAAACAUGUUGUUCCACUGAAAAUUCAAGUACUUAGUGUACUAUGUGUGCUGUAUGGGUAACCAGAUUAAAUGGGAAAACAUCAAUUAUGGGAAAACAUCAAUUACUUGAUCAAUCCACAGAAGACUUUAGUAAUAUCCAGGUUAUCUGGGUUCAACCCUGACUUGGCAAUAGAUUUUGUUUUGUGGCCUUGGAUGACUCCCUUAGUCUGUCAACUUCUACCCCUCUGCAAGAGACAGUUAUGUUGCCAAAGGUUUAGUACCUUCCAUUGUAAGUAAAAAAGCACCACUGACAAUGAGACUUUGAGAUAUUUCUUUGAACAGUGACUAUCUAAUUCAGCAGCUACAUCAAAUUAAUUAUAAUUUGUAGACACAAGCAAUAGCAUACUGAUACUUUUAGAAAUCUCAGUGCCUGUAAUCUAAUAAAAAACACAUAAAAAAGAUUAAACUCCCAUGGUGAGUCAUGGAGAGCCCAUGCUUCUUCAUCCUGCUUCUUUCUAAGAGUCAUCCUCCUCAUCAUUGCUUGAUUUAAAAGAGAAAUUGGCAUGCAUGGUGGUUGGUGUGAUAAAGGUAUGCUAAUCACCAACUGAUUUCAGUUCAUAAAGGCUGUUAGAAAUUUCAUCCCUGGUAUGUGGCUUUAAAAAUCAAGAUUAUUUAAUUGCAGGUGGGACAUAGAAACUAUAAUGAAAGAAAUCCACACUCUUAGGGAACAAAGGACAAAUUACAAAGGGUUUAUUUUUCUUUUAUCCAGUGGAAGAUGAGGUCAUACUCAGGAGCAAGAUGGCUCUCAGAGAUAGAUACCUGACUAACAGACUGGGGGGGCUUAUUGGACUGCCAGGCUGCAUUACUGGGGAUUUUUGAAGUCAAUGUAUGGUUGAGAUGCUUGCCCUUGAUGAAUAAAGCCAGCACAAUUUUAAGUGACAUAACUCUAGUUCUGGUCAGAAGCCAGAACUUCAGGUUUUGCCUAUGAAAAGGGUUCCCCUGUUCUUCUGAUGAGGACUAGGAGGAGCAAGAUGAGGGGGAAAAAAAAGGAUAAAAAAUCCCUUCCAGUAGGGAACUUCUAAUAUGUCUUGGGUUUCUGUCCUUUUAAGAUGGGGAUGGUUUCUUACACUCUUUAAAGGACAUUGUCAAUAGAAAUUGAACACUAUUAUUUUUAUGAUUUAUAAAUGCUAUAAAGCGCCAUUAAGAAUCAAGCUAAAGUGACAAAUCUUAGUAUCCUAUUUAAAAAUUGUGUGCAGAUGCUACUGUGCCUGUAUAUAAACAUAUAAAUAUUAUCAUUCUUGGGCUGAUUUGUGGUUUUUUGCAUAGAAAAAGAUAACACAAAAAUGUAAUU